rnacentral:rRNA from 1 species
AAUUGACGGGGACCCGCACAAGCGGUGGAUGAUGUGGAUUAAUUCGAUGCAACGCGAAAAACCUUACCUACCCUUGACAUGCUAGGAAUCCUGCAGAGAUGUGGGAGUGCUCGAAAGAGAACCUAGACACAGGUGCUGCAUGGCCGUCGUCAGCUCGUGUCGUGAGAUGUUCGGUUAAGUCCGGCAACGAGCGCAACCCACAUCCUUAGUUGCCAGCAGUUCGGCUGGGCACUCUAAGGAAACUGCCCGUGAUAAGCGGGAGGAAGGUGUGGAUGACGUCAAGUCCUCAUGGCCCUUACAGGCUGGGCUACACACGUGCUACAAUGGCGAUGACAGUGGGCAGCGACCCCGCAAGGGUGAGCUAAUCUCCAAAAGUCGUCUCAGUUCGGAUUGUCCUCUGCAACUCGAGGGCAUGAAGGCGGAAUCGCUAGUAAUCGCGGAUCAGCAUGCCGCGGUGAAUACGUUCCCAGGCCUUGUACACACCGCCCGUCACACCAUGGAAGCUGGUCACACCCAAAGUCGUUAUUCUAACCGUUUGGAGGAAGGCGCCUAAGGUAGGAUUGGUGACUGGGGUGAAGUCGUAACAAGGUAGCCGUAUCGGAAGGUGCGGCUGGAUCACCU